UGGGGAAUAUUGGACAAUGGGCGAAAGCCUGAUCCAGCCAUGCCGCGUGUGUGAAGAAGGUCUUCGGAUUGUAAAGCACUUUAAGUUGGGAGGAAGGGCAGUAAGCGAAUACCUUGCUGUUUUGACGUUACCGACAGAAUAAGCACCGGCUAACUCUGUGCCAGCAGCCGCGGUAAUACAGAGGGUGCAAGCGUUAAUCGGAAUUACUGGGCGUAAAGCGCGCGUAGGUGGUUCGUUAAGUUGAAUGUGAAAGCCCGGGCUCAACCUGGGAACUGCAUCCAAAACGGGCGAGCUAGAGUAGGGCAGAGGGUGGUGGAAUUUCCUGUGUAGCGGUGAAAUGCGUAGAUAUAGGAAGGAACACCGGUGGCGAAGGCGACCACCUGGGCUCAUACUGACACUGAGGUGCGAAAGCGUGGGGAGCAAACAGG
rnacentral:rRNA from 1 species